AACUAUUUCGUACACAAUAAUACAAUGUGGGGUAUGCACUAUAAAGUGAGUUGAAUCCACUGGAUAACUUCAGAACUCAGGCAAGAAAUUCAGUUUGAGAUUAGAUCUUGAAUCCAUAAAAAUGUCAUCUGGAUUUGGCAAAGAAGCUUGGGAACCAUUAGCUGAAGCAGCAACUGCCUCUACAGAGAAAAAUGGGAGAUGUAAUAUGAUGAUGAUAGCAGCAGGAUCAACUGCAAUAGCAAAUUUGAAUGAAGUUAUAGAACCUGAUAAAGUUCUAACUCAGAGCCAAUUUCAAAAUUGGAAAGUCUACGUGAAAAAUGUUUUGGUUAGCCGGUGUCUUUAGGAUGUUGGGGGUGCAAGUGAUCCCAUCCGGACUCGUGAUUACCUGUGUAUAAAUUGUUCAGCGUAAGUAAGGCGAUAAGAAUGUCCUGCAGACGAGAGAUGUUGCCUUACACUCGUAUCGCGAUUUCUAGAUGAGAAAAAUGGAUGAAGGACACAUCCCAAGCACCUGCGAUAGCUAUGUUUGCAGCAGCUUUUAAACUACCUGGUGGCAAUGAUAGAGAUUAAGACUUCAAUCGGCUUUCAUUUUCUUUAUGGAUUCAGAUGCAAUUUCACUCUUUGAUUCGUGCACAUCUAUCUUGAAGUAUGAUUGUCACAACUCUUAUAGCCACAGUUAUGUUUGCAACAACCUUUACAAUACCAGAUGACAUCAAUAGAGAUACUGGCCUUCCGGUGGUGUUAUUGCAUUUAUAGGAUCGGAUGCAACUUCAAUCUUAGCUUUUGGUGCACAUCUGCGUUGGUGUAUGCGUGUCUCAACACUUAUUGACACGGUGAUGUUUGCACUCAACUCUUGUUGCCACAGUUAUGUUUGCAGCAACUUCUACAAUACUUGGUGGCAGCAAUUGAGAUAUAGGCCUUCCAAGGUCUUUAUAAUGCAGUUUCACUCUUCGCUUUGUGCAAAAGUGUCUUGGCGUAUGAUUGUCUCAACUCUUAGCACCACAGUUAUGUUUGCAGCAGCUUUUAUGUGGCAACAAUUGAGAUAGAUGACCUCAAAUGCAAUUUCCUUUUUUGAUUUUGUAGAUUGUAGUUAGCAAUGUUUCAUUAUAUGUGAAACGAAUCAUGUUUCUAUCAAUUGAUGAAAUUUGGUCCA